rnacentral:lncRNA from 1 species
CCGUGGUUGUGGUGGUGAGACGACGCCCCCGCCGCCGCUUUCUUCCGGUAGCUCGAGCUCCUCUCUUGCGGCCUCGACAUUCAAAGUCCUAGUGGACAUAACAAGGGGAUGGCGACUAGCAGAAACAACUCCACGGGCAUCUUUGUUCGACCUGCCACGAGAACUCUAUUUGACCUGUCAAUGUGUACAAUCCCGAUGACCCAAGAAGAUCAACAGAAGCAAAGAGAACUCUGUUUGACUUGCCCACAUCUAAACUGUUGGAUGUCUACGACAAUCACAAAAGAGAACAUCUGCACCAUACUGUUAGUUUCUUCUUCUUGUGUAAUAUAUAUUGAGCUGUUGCAAGAAAUCAGAAGAAUUAAACACUGCUAGAGUUUUUUGUAGGACAAAGAUGCAAGCAGUGCCAGUAGGCAUUGGAGCAUCGAAAUGCAAGUGCUACGGCGUGCGUGCGAGGAUUGGAGAUGGCUGGUCGCCGAUGCGUAGGAACAGGGGUUAACACAUUUUUUAAAACAUCUUCGGUCAAGAUUGUGAAGUUUAGUUAACACAUUUUUCACAUGAGCAACACAUCCAUAUGUUGGAGCAUGUUCGCCAGCUAGUUCAAAGAGAAAAAACUGCUAAACAAAUUUAGCCAUAUUAGUUGGAUGGCAUAGCUUUGCACACACGAGAGGAUUUUCAUGGGAUCACUACUCACGACUGUUUUCGGAGAGGAACCUGGGAUGCCACGAAGCACCGUGCGCUGCAGCUAGGAGAGGUGCGGGGAAGGUCAGAGAGAGUUAGCAGGGAAGGUCAGAGAGAGUUGAUGGGGAGGGACGAUGCUCACCAUGGCUGGCUUCUGGCGACACAUGAAGAGAAGAACUCGGGGGGAGGAGCAUGGGAGAUCAGACGGUGACAGGUAGUGUACCUCCAGCUUGGAUCUUGGCGUGGCACCAGCGCUCAGGUGGUCAACACCGACGGCGCACAGGGAGACAGGCGGCGUCGUGCAGGUGGUUGGGGCGGCGCCGCGCAUGUGGUCGGAGUCAGCGACGCGCAUGGAGCCAGGCCGACGGCGGGCAUGUGGUCGGGGCGGCGACGCGUGUGUGGUCGCGGGUGGUCGGGGCAGUGGGGUGGGG